rnacentral:lncRNA from 1 species
UGAAUUAACCGUACUUUUUUUAAAACAAAAUUUUCGAUUAAAAGUUGCCACAAAAAGGUGGUUGGGGAGGUUGUAAAGAAAGUUGAGUCAAGGGUUUUUUUUUUUGUUGUAAUUUUACCUUCUUCUUUUUUUCACCCCCCCCAAGGCACUUUUACUAUAAUUUGGAUGUAAGUACCCUUUUUAAGUAAAAUUAGAAAAUUAAUAUGAAAUUUCCGUCUCACUUUGCUCCCUCUCUAUUUCUCUCUCUCAAAAAUGAAGAUUUUUUUUCGGAUAAUUGAGUAUAGGAGACUUCUCAACGAGAAUGACGUUGGGGCUAAUGUUAUACAUGGAUAUUCCAUAAUUUUCCCUUAAAAAUAUUGCAUUCUCAUGCCACAAGUAUUAGGGAUGAGGGAUGAGCAAUUGAUGGGCACUGCCCUACGAGAAUAAAAACUUAUAACAUUAUAAAAGCGAUAAUAAUAAUACAAUGAAAAAAAAAAAAUUCAUCAAAAUCAUUUAAUGUAUUUAAAAAGAACUUCAUGAAGGUUCCUUUGGUUUGGAUAUUUAGUCGAGGAAUUGAGGAAAUAUAGAUCCUCAUAUUCAAUUUAUAUAGAAUUUAGUUCAAAAAAUACGGCUCCUUCUUUCUUGCCCAUUUAACACACAAGAACAUUGUUACUCGGCCAAGGUACUCGAACUUUGGCGGAGGCGAGUUUUUCGGCCGAGUCUGAGUAACUUGGCCAAGUUCAUGUCCUGUUAAAUAAUAAUAAUAAUAAUAAUAAUAAUAAUAAUAAUAAUAAUAAUAAUAAUAAUAAUAAUAAUAAUAAUAAUAAUAAUAAUAGCAAUAAUAAUAACAGCAGUAAUAAUAAUAACAGUAGUAAUAAUAAUAGCAAUAACAAUAAUAAUAGAAAUAAUAAUAGCAAUAAUAAUAAUAAUAAUAAUAAUAAUAAUAAUAAUAAUAAUAAUAAUAAUAAUAAUAAUAAUAAUAAUAAUAAUAAUAAUAAUAAUAAUAAUAAUAAUAAUAAUAAUAAUAAUAAUAUUUAUAUUAAUAAUUAAAAAAAAAAUAGUGUAUAGAAAGAAUAAGAUACUUUUGCUUUUCAACAAAGGGAAAUUAUUUCAUGCGGGCUGGACCGCAUGUCUACAUAUGUGGUCUGGAAAGUGUAAAGCAUCGAUCUUAAAGAUGGAUGCAAGUAGAUGUUCCAUUUAAAAACAAUGAAAACUAACGGUCCAAAUGUUUUUUUAUUAGAAUUAUUAUUUUAGUUUUAUUUUUUCAUAUUCAUGAUCUCCAUGUUAGAUAUUACGUGUACUUACAAAUUAAGUCCUGAAAUCAAUCUCAAAAUAGN